rnacentral:lncRNA from 10 species
GUUUACUCAAGUCACACGGAGAGUAAAUGCUGGAGCCCGAAUUCAAACACAGAUGGUUUCAAUCCAAAUCUCAACCUCUUUCCACCGGUUCUCCUGACUUCGUGCAGAUUUCAUGGAAAUGAGAAUGAAAGUUGGACCUUGCAACUCAAAGAUCAGUAUAUGGAAUGGAAGAUAAUUACAGGGGGAAGGGAGAGGAACCGACAUCGCCUGGGCCUUCUGCACAUCAGGCACUGUGUACUGAGUUAAGGUGCUCAAUCUUCCCAACAGUGCUGGGUGGGAGGAAUCGUGAUUCCUAUUUCAUGGAUGCACAAAUCCAGUCUCCAGGAAGUUAAGAAAUGAAUGUGCUGAGGGCACAGAGUGAAUGAAUGCAGGACUGUCAUACCCUUCCAGCCUUCCACACAGCCACCCUACCAGCAAAUCAACAAGUGCAUGCAAUGAGGUGCUUGAACAAAAUGUUCUCGAGAGAAGCUUGGCUGCUACAAUCUUGGAAGACAGGCACUGUGAGCAGUAGUCACUAAUCCCUUCGUCAAGCCUGUUUUUCAGCUGAAGAUGUUGAAGCUCAGUGCAGUCGAGUGGUUUUCCUGAAGUCAGAGUGGCCACUCCUCACACGGUCUCCCGGGGCACUUUGCCUGAGAUGUCUCGGCUGGACCUCUCCUUUGGGUCGUUCGAGCUUUAUUGCUUAUCUUCAUGAUCUUGUGCAGUCAGGUGAGCCCCAGAUGUAUCAGAUUCAUCAGACCUUAGCAAGCCAGGACCAAAGCUUACCCGAGAUGGCCAGCAAGAAUGAGUCAUAAGGAGGUUCAGGUCACUGACAUGGCCUAAAUCAACCACAAACAGCCCUUGUAUUUUAGGACAGUGGGGAAAGGAGCCAGGAAUCACUCAAAAUCAAGGGCUUCUACUCUGUGGGACGUGUGUUUCUGUUGCCUUUCGUAAAAUGAGUGGAUCCUGUCUGAAGUUUUCUAACUAAAGUCUAGCUCCCCAAAUUCAGCCUCAACACCACCUAUCUGCUAGUGUAAGCAGCACACCGCUAAUGGGAGCUGCUUGCUGCUAGGGGAAUUUGACUUCUUCUUAAUGUGGAAUAAUCACUAUUACCUCUCAAUUACUUAACAAAUAGAGAAGCACAGGGCCACGUUAUUUCAAAAGAGCCUCCUGAGAGUAGGGCUGGAGAUCUCCAAAUGUUACCCGGAAUUAGCUAGGAGAGGGCAGGUGAUCAGAUCUUUUAAUAUCUACCCAGGGGAAAAUGCACAUAUUAUGUACUAAUAACUCAGGCAGCGCCUUAACUAUUCCUCACCCUCUCACUUUAAGCGUAGACCUGGGAAACACCCUGCUCCUUCUCUUCCUGCUAAGAAAUAGUCAAAUAGUAAGUAAGAGGAUUCAUCAGGUCCCUUCGGUUACUAGCAGUGGGGGUGGAUGGGCUGUCUUCCUCUCAAACUUGGUAGACCCACUUCCUGGCUGGAAAUCAAAUAGCAGUUUGGUAGAGAUGUAAAAAAAUGAGAAGAUGCUGACCUUCCCUCCACUAUUGUCCUAUGACCCUGCCAAAUCCCCCUCUGUGAGAAACACCCAAAAAUGAUCAAUAAAAAAUAAAUAAAUAAAUAAAUAAAUAAAUAAAAUGAGAAGAAAAAAAAUCAGUAAAUUAAGUAGUGGGGGUAAAAAAAAAAAAAAACCAAGUUAAAUGGGUUGGUAUUGUGCAGACAAAACCCACCACCCUGGGUUGUAAGCCAUCUCCCUAUUCCCUUUGGAACUAUAGUGACUAUCUUCUAUUUGGGGGUUUCUCAUAAGUCAAUAUUGUAAAAAUUCUAUGAAAAGCUGUUUUGGGUGAGUUAAACAUAGUCCAUUUUCUUGAAAAAUACAUUCUUUCCCAAGGCAAUUUUUUUUAGCAUCUUAAACCAGCAUUGUUUCCUAUGAGACAGUAGGAGCGAAAAUAGAGCUUUAGGUUUAUUUCCAAGAUUUGAUUAAAUGUAAUGUAGAAUUGCAACUUUGAAAGGAGCUUCGGUUUUUCUGGUGGCAUGAGAACUAAAAUUAAAUUUGAGUUUAGCUAAAAGUAAAAAAAAAAAUAACUCAAUGUGUAAUGAGGAUUAAAUGUUAGGGACCAGUUUGCCCAUGAGACUUUCGAUUUCACUCUGUUCAGCAUCUCUGAAUGGUCGGAGCAGAAGGCAUGCUUUACAUUUACAGGAGCAUGGAGACUUCAGGUAUUCUGCUCACUAGCUUUGCGUGGGUCUUUAUGCUGAGUGAAUAACUGUGCAUUUGUUGUAGAAUCAAGGACUAAAGAAGUAAAGGGGAGAGGAGAUUACCCUUUCAGAACCCCAAUUCCCACUAAACCAAAGACCUGCUAAUUCUGAACAUUUAUGACCUCAACUGCUUAGUUCCACUCCCCGCCCCACCCCAGGAAAAUGGCAAGUGGAAAUACCCCAGCUGGCUCUAGAAGCUAUUGUAUGUACUCUCAGGGGUGUUGACUUUCGGGUCAUGAAUGCAUUCACUUCAAGAGAGGAGGGAGAAGAUGUUAGAAGAUGCAGGACCAGUUUCCCCUGUGGACAGAGGCCGUGGACGGCAUGUCUGCUGACCCACUAGUUGGGACUGCUUUGGCUCUUGCUGAAAUUGCAUUUCACUUGUUUCUGACCUAAUUAGGUCUGAACUCUUGGAACGUGGUCAAGCUUUUGCUUGCAUGCGGGAGUGCAAACACAGAUAGAUGCCUUACUGAGAUGGACAGGAAGAAUCUCUGGGGCAGAACUUGGGCUUCCAUGGGCCCAUCAACUUUGGGGUGUUUGCACUGUCAACAAUCCACUGGGAUGAGAAGAAGAUACUAGAACUUUUCUGAAUAUAUUUUGGUCAAAACGGUCAGAAAAGGUACGAAAUUAAAAGAAGCAUGACUAGUACUUAAUAUAUAUAGCUUGAAAUCAAUACAUGUAUACAAUUUAAUCAUGACUAUUCAUAUACCAGGGAUGAUCAAAUCAUUUAGGGAUGGGGAUACAUGAUCAAAACAGUUUGACAACCUCUAGUCUAUGGGAAGACGCACAGUGUUUUCCAGGGCAGCUGAGUAGAGCCCUUGCUCACCCUCCCAGAGCUGCUCCAGCUCCUUCCCACUCAUUUUCCUGUAUUCCUGGACAGUCUGGAUAUUCCAAACAGCUGCCAGCUCUCUGAAUGUGCUCUGCUGUUGUGUGCCCUGGGGUCUUUUCACCUGCCAUUUUCAACUUUGGAUCUCUUUCCCUCUGCUUAGUAAACCUUUUUUUACUUUUGUAAACAGUUUACUGUACUUGCUGGACAACAUGGAUCUGUCAGCCCUAUUACUCUCUCCUCAUAACUCUGUUAUUGCUUUACAAGUUUGUCACCCUUUUAUUUUUGGAGCAGCUGAAGGAUAAAGCUUGUUCUUUUACAUUUGUGUAUAAACGUCUGUAGAAUGAACAAAAGAAUGAAGUUAACAAACCUAGCCUUCAUUGAUGACUAGCUGUAGGGUUUACACCCUGAGAUUUGUUUGGGUCACCAGGAGGGGUCGCUGUUGGCACUUCCUGUAAUGGCCAGCGCCUGGCUGGUGGCUCUUUUCUGAGCAGUAGGUUCUCUCCCAAUAUAGCAGAGUCUAACUUAUUACCUCCUUCCCUCACCCUUCCUCCACUCACUUUCUUGAAAAGGGGACAGAGGCUGAGCCUAGAAGACAGGACACAGCCUCUGACUUCAUAAUAAAACUUUGUGUGCGAGGGGUUCCCCAAGAGCCCCCAGGAUGAACAUGUUGCUGGAUGGACUCACAAAUGCUGCUGGGGAAAUUGUUGAUGCUACCUUGCUUCUUCUAGACCAGAGAGCUAUUCUGGAACAAGCAACAGUACAUAAAGAGGCUUUUGAAAAUGUCAGUGGCUGAGAAACUGCAACCAGCAGCUAUGAGCGGAUUUUGAGGGGCAUAAAACCACACAGCUCCUGAAAGCAGCUGGACGUUCCACUGGCAAGCUGGACAGAAAAGUGCACCAAACUAGGCGAGAUCUUUUUAUUAACCACAGUGUCAGAGAAUGGCGAAUACAUGGCUAUUUGACUGUAAUUAUGAAAGCACUGGUACAAAUAAAAAAGGAGUACAGAAUGUCUUAGUCCCAUUCUUUAAGAUUUCUGUUAAUUUUUAAACUGUAUUUUAAUUUAAGGACAU